GACGAACGCUGGCGGCGUGCUUAACACAUGCAAGUCGAACGGUGAAGCGCUUUCCUUUUUGGUUGGUGUGGAUGAGUGGCGAACGGGUGAGUAACACGUGAGUAACCUGCCCCCUUCUUCUGGAUAACCGCAUGAAAGUGUGGCUAAUACGGGAUAUUCUGCGCCUGCUGCAUGGUGGGUGUGGGAAAGAUUGUGCCUUUGGGUGUUUUCGGUGGGGGAUGGGCUCGCGGCCUAUCAGCUUGUUGGUGGGGUGAUGGCCUACCAAGGCGGUGACGGGUAGCCGGCCUGAGAGGGUGGACGGUCACACUGGGACUGAGACACGGCCCAGACUCCUACGGGAGGCAGCAGUGGGGAAUAUUGCACAAUGGGCGCAAGCCUGAUGCAGCGACGCCGCGUGAGGGAGGGAGGCCUUCGGGUUGUGAACCUCUUUCGCCAGUGAAGCAGGCCUGCUCCUUGUGGGUGGGUUGACGGUAGCUGGAUAAGAAGCGCCGGCUAACUACGUG
rnacentral:rRNA from 1 species